CUCACAGAGGUCACCAUCUCUGGGGCAUCUUGCAGAGAGCUCAGAAGCUUCUCUUACAACUUCCACAGAGCCACCGAGCUUCCCUCUGCAGUGAAUAAAUGUUCCUGGAAACCAUUUUUAUGAGAAAUGCAGUAUCUUCCCUGAUUUUAAAUGCACCACGGCAGGAGAACGACAGUACCAGAACAAAGGGGACCUUGCCAUUUGCUGUCACCAUGUGAUUUGGUUCUGGCCAAUGAGCUGUAAUUUCAAGAGAUGACUAAGGCCUCCAGAAACUUCUAAAGGGCUUGUGUUCAGCUACUAAUGACACUUUAUUGGCUUCUGCAUUUUCCCCUUUUUUCAGCCAGCAAUGCAAGCAUAAUGGCUGAAACCUCAGCAGCGAACUUUAAGCCAUAGGUGAUGUUAAAAGUGGAAGUCAGGAGUUAGGAUGAAAGGAAACCAAGAUAUUGGAGACUUAGGAGCUCUUGGAACAUAAAGCAAUGGAAUUAUCAUUACAGACUCUGCAUUUCUUGUGUCUCCUUCAGUUCUCCCUUUUCUGCAGUGAACUGAGUUGGACAAACAGAAAUAAACCUGCUAAUUCUCAUAACUCUUCUCGAGACCCAAAAAUGUCACCUACUACUUCUUCUCCUUAACCCUAUACUUGCUCCUCCCAGAUAUUCAGAGAAAUCUUCCUCUGGCCAAAUUCUUUCCAGUCUUACAAUGUUUUCUAUUUCCAAUCCAAGUGUUUCCUCAGCCUGUAUUCCUAGAAAGAGAGAAGCAGGAAGAGAGGAGAGAGGCCUCCGUCACCUCCGUGCCUGGGAGGGGAGCUUGGUUCUACUUCAUGCUGAGCUUGGCUUUUCUUAGAUGGCAUCCUUCCAAAGAGCCAAAGAAGGGGCUUUGCUUGACCAGCUGGUGUCUGGUGCUUGGUGCAUGAGGCUGCUGUCUACCCACAAGGCAAAGAGGAUGUCAAGUCUGUUGGGCAUUUAGGAGCAUGCCAAGAGCAGAACAGCUUCUACAGUGACAUUGUCACCAUUUCCCUCUGGUGUGUUUCACAAAUGGUUGAUGGGAUUAGACAGCAUGCCUUUCUUAGAAGACUUUACAAACACCAUUGCUUAUACUAAGAUGAAAGUGGUGUUUUGGGGAAAAUGCCAAGUUGCAAAUCUGAGGUGGAGAAGAUAUUCCAUUAACCUUGUAUCUAGUAGGCUGUCUAUUAAUUUCAAAUGAUAAAGAGAUGUCAGAUAAAGCCAAUUAGCAUAAAACACUCUUAGCUUUGCAAACAUUCAACAAAUAGCAACAAGAAUGAAGGACAUGUAGGGAUGGAGCUUUUCCAUGGGACUAUUAAAAGUGAUUGUGUCUUCACUUCUUUCAUCUUGUAUAUUCUAUGUGCAAGUCCUAAGGCAACUACUAAGUGAUCCAGUCUUCUGUCUUUUCCCUCCUCUGUGAUGAACAUGCUGGAUCUCUUUGUGGAGAAGAGACAAAUGAUGACACCUUUGCAGUGACUCGAUGUCCUUCACCUACUAGGAAACGGUCACUUCCAAACUCCUGGUGCAACUGUCAUAAUGGUGGCCUCUGUUGGGGCUUUUCCAGGGCA